CGGGAUGUGGCGCAGCUUGGUAGCGCGCAUGGUUCGGGACCAUGAGGCCGCGAGUUCAAAUCUCGCCAUCCCGACCA
rnacentral:tRNA from 1 species